GAGGAGCAAGACAUGAGGUUAAUAAUUAUCAAAUAUAUGGCAAUGCUGGACUUUAGCUGAUGAUCGUGCUUCUGGAAAACAACAAAAAUUGAGAUAUCUUUUCACCACUUUGUGUGUCCAAGGACCACCUACUUUUUACAUGUGACAAGAACUACCCACCUCCACUCUUCAGGAUAGAACAUGCUGAAGAAAAGAGUUGCAAUGAGAAAAUAUAUGGGAACAAAAUACCUGUGCAAUGCAGAGGUCUGCAUAACUGAACCACUCAGAGGAAAAAAUUUCCCUCCCAGGCUGGAGUACAAUGGCGCGACCUCGGCUCACUGCAACUUCCAUCUCCCAGGUUCAAGCAAUUCUCCCACCUCAGCCUCCUUACUAGCUGGGAUUACAAGCGCCUGACACCAGGCCCAGCUAUUUUUGUAUUUUUAGUAGAGACGGGGUUUCACCAUUUUGACUAGGCUGGUCUCAAACUCCUGACCUCAGUCCAUCGGUCCACCUCGGCCUCCCAAAGUGCUGGGAUUGCAGGCAUGAGCCACCGCUCCUGGCCUCAAGUUUAAUUCUUAAGUGAGUCAAUCAGUUAUAGUCCUGUUCAAAGCUUUCAGUGCACCUAAAAUUUCAUCCAACAUCUAUUAUCUUUCAUCAUAUGCUAAAACAGCUUGAAGAUGUAUAUGAUUUUAUAAAAAUAAUCUAUAAAACAAAACAACCAAAUUAAGGGUUUACAUUUUAAAGCACCAAUAUUCACCUAUAGUUGGUGAAUGUACAGUUAGAAUGAAAAAAAUAGAAUUUUGGUGAAUUCUGAAAUGGUUCCACCCUAUCCAAACAAGUUGUAUUAAUGCAUGUAUACAUUUCUUAACAGAUAAAGUACUCGAAUUGCUACAAAUACAGAAGCUUACAAGUUUCC
rnacentral:lncRNA from 1 species